GGAGAGGUGGCAGAGCCUGGCUUAAUGCGGCGGCCUCGAAAGCCGUUGUCCUGUUUAUCAGGACCGGGGGUUCGAAUCCCUCCCUCUCCGCCA
rnacentral:tRNA from 1 species